rnacentral:rRNA from 1 species
AUGGCAUUUCGCCGAAUCCGCACGGCGCACUCCGCACCCAAUCCCCCGUCUCCUCAGGCCCCAUCCCCCACGGGACAAACCCUAGCCUUACAUCCCACACUACCUCCUCCUCCAUCCUCGUUAGCCGCCGCCGCCGUUCUGCCUCCCUCCUCUCUGCCCUACAACCUCGCCACCGGGAGGAAGCCUCCAUUCGUGGCGCCAUACCGCUGCCGUUGUGCUGUGCACGCUUCAUUCCCCACAGCCCCUCCCUCAUCCUUGCUCGGCACCGCCGCUGCCUGCUACUCCCCUCCACCACUGUUGCUGCUUGUGCGGGUUCGCCCUCUCCCCGCGCGGCGCGUGCGCAUCACGCCAUCUACGGGAGCGUGGGGGCAGGCCUCGCCCGCACCCCUCCGCCCUACCUCCCUCCUUGAUCUCUCUCCCUGGUCAGCCGCCACCAACCCUAGCCCCCUUUCAUACACCGACUCCUCUCUCUGCCCGUGCAGGCGGCCAUCUUCGUUCCACCCCGAGCUUCUCAUCCUCCUUCCUUGCUUCUCUACUCCCACACGAAGGAGGAAGAUGCAAAUGGCGUCGGCUUUGGGAGAUAGCUCACCCCGGCUGAACCAACUGAUCAAGAAUCAUAGAUUGAUUCUAUUACUUUGCGUCAUCAUGUCCGUGCCCAGCGGACAGGCGGAUGCACCGCCGGCCACCAAGCCGUCAACUCCGGCGGCCCCUGGACAGCCGGCCACCAAGCCAUCAACUCUGGCAACCCCUGGACAGCGAGGGUUCACACCAGCAGCCGGCGAGGUGAUUCCACAUAGUGCCGGACGAGGCAACUCCUGUAUCCAUGGAUCGCCCCAGGAUGCUCCAGAUUGGAGAACGACGGUUGCUAGCAAUGAUACAUACGUAUCAACAACAGAAGGAGGCAUUGAUUGGUCUCAGAUUGAGAUAGCACCAAUGAAUGAUGACGAAAUUGAUGUUCCUAUAACAGAAGAAAAUAUGUGCUCGGUGCUUGGAAUCAACGAUGAACCUGUGCAACGAAAAUGUGUAUCUGAAGCAGCCAUCAAAGCCUCGAUUGCAAAUGUUGAUGCAUGUAUAGUUGAUAUUAGUGAGGACUUACUUGCUGAUGCGGCUCUUCCAGAACAUCCUGUGAUAGAGGAAGGUUCUUUGUUUCGUUCGAUGAAAGAGUUUAGGAUGCUUAUGAGAACAUUUGCUAUUAGAGGAAUUGGAUGUCCUUGGCGUAUAAUUGCUAGAACGAUAGAAGAUGGCAAAACAAUCAGGGUUAACAAGAUAGUAAAGCCUCAUAAGUGUUCAUCAACCGCUAAAGUGAUUACAAGCAUGGCAGACCAAGCAUGGGUGGCAGAAAAGGCAAUUGGGUAUCUUCAAACUGAACCAAACAUUGGUGGCAUGGAGCUCCUAAUACUAUUGGGUACAAGCAGAGUACAAAUGUACUAUUGGGUGCAAACAAUGUGGAAUCUUGGGGCACAGAAAGCAACUUGUAAAAAGAAGGAAGCUAAUGAGAGAGACGUGUCUGCUCACGAGCUCGCUCCAGCUGUUGUUGCGACACCCACACGCACAACAACAAUCACAGUGCCUCCCAGCCUUCAUAACAGCCCUGGGCCUAUUUCAAGGAGCCGAAGGCAAUGCAUCACAACCAUCUGGAACAACGAAUGUUUCUGCACCAUCGCCUACUUCUCACAUCCCUUCAAGCUCUACGGCAUGCAAGAAAAAAAUUACCCCAAGGAGGAAGAAGAUGAUAAGCCGGGCAUGGUAAAUGUUGCGGAACAAGCAAAAUCAUGUCAAAUUGGGAGUUGCCACCAAAUAAGCAAGAUGAAGCUCGGCAUUUUCAUAUAUCUCAGGGGCCAUAUCAGCCAGGAAGAGCCCCCAAACACUCUAAAUAUUAAUUUAUCUUUAAGCGCCGCCAAAUGGGAGAUGACUUACAUAUUGCAUGAUCAUAUACGUAGCAGGGAGUGCCGGCGCCUGCCGGACCAGACACCACCUACGGCGGGGAGUGGCAGCUGCAACGACGAGUAUUUUGCUCGGCGAGCAAACGGCGCAAUCCGCCUAUUCCGCAACUCCAAGCUGCAGCGGAGCUACCGGACCGCCGAGAUGCAGAGGAGCCGCAGCGCAUCCGAGCUGCAGCAGGAGCCAUCCCGCGUCUCCGAGUUUAACGGGAGCCCCCGCCGCCGAGCUGCAGCGGUAGCCGCCGCCAAGAUGGGGUCCAAGUAUCCUCGUCGGCCUCCUGCAGGAUCUCACUUCAGAGCUGCCGAGGUUGUCCUCACCAAGGAAGCGGCCGACAGCGCAAGGGGGGGCUCGUCCUUACGUGGUGCUCAACCGGGGAUUGAGAUUUGGAGGGAGACUAGGGAGACCCCGGCGAAAACGAGCGUGCUAGCGGAGGCUCCGGGAAUGCAGGGUGAUAGGGCCCAGUCUAUGCUCCCGUUGUGUUGUUGGUAG